GAGGAGUCAGGCAGUGAUGCAGAAAGCCUUAGCAUUUCAAAAGAUACAGAAAUGGAACAACCAUCAGCAGCCAACAUAAUUGCAAAUCUGGCAUCCCAGAUUGAUCACCGUGCCAUCAGCAGAUUUAACAUCUGUCGUUCGGACAUUUGGGAUGGAGCUGUCAGAGGGUUUAAGCGUGGAACCUUUUCUGAAAAGAAGGAUCUUUAUGUAAAGUUCUCUGAUGAUGAAGGGAGGUUGGAAGAAGGUAUCGAUAUGGGUGGCCCAAAAAGAGAAUUUCUCUCCCUACUCAUGAGAAGGCUAAACCAGAGACCCAUUUUUGAUGGACCUCCAGAAAGCAGAUAUCUUGUCUACAAUUCAACAGCUUCAAGAGACAAUGAGUACAGGUUGGCAGGGCAGAUGAUUGCUGUGUCUAUCGUGCAUGGUGGACCUGGACCAAAUUUCCUCUCAAAG